rnacentral:rRNA from 1 species
GAGUGAACGCUGGCGGUAGGCCUACCCCAUGCAAGUCGAACGGCAGCACAGUAAGAGCUUGUUCUUACGGGUGGCGAGUGGCGGACGGGUGAGGAAUACAUCGGAAUCUACUUUUUCGUGGGGGAUAACGUAGGGAAACUUACGCUAAUACCGCAUACGACCUACGGGUGAAAGCAGGGGAUCUUCGGACCUUGCGCGAUUGAAUGAGCCGAUGUCGGAUUAGCUAGUUGGCGGGGUAAAGGCCCACCAAGGCGACGAUCCGUAGCUGGUCUGAGAGGAUGAUCAGCCACACUGGAACUGAGACACGGUCCAGACUCCUACGGGAGGCAGCAGUGGGGAAUAUUGGACAAUGGGCGCAAGCCUGAUCCAGCCAUACCGCGUGGGUGAAGAAGGCCUUCGGGUUGUAAAGCCCUUUUGUUGGGAAAGAAAAGCAGCAGGUUAAUACCCCGCUGUUCUGACGGUACCCAAAGAAUAAGCACCGGCUAACUUCGUG